rnacentral:lncRNA from 1 species
UAAUAAAGUUAUUCGCUUAUUUAAAAGGACAGGUGCAGGAAGGUGCGCUGCUUGUGGCAUCGCCGAAACUGGAGCCGUGUUCCGUGUCGGCGCCACCAGGUGUCCUCCUCGCCAGUUCAACAAGACAACGAGUGCGUGGAGCCGACUACCGUGCGAGUCCCGGCGCCGACAGACAUCCUCCUAGAAAGCUGAAGCAGGCGAGUGCAGCCGUGUUCUUCACGUUUUAAGGUGUGCGUGGCGUUGGAUCCUCAAGCCGGCCUCCCGUCAGUCCCUGCGCCAGCAGACGUUCUCCUACCGGUG